rnacentral:antisense_RNA from 1 species
AAUCCAAACAAACCGGUUUGUCAUUAAGCGUCCGGCUGUUUCAGGAGGGUAUUUCAUAAUAUCCUGGACAAUUUUUGAUUCUUCCUGUUUCAUUCCGGCUAGUAAGCCUGAAAUUUUUUCGGGUGACAGGUCAUCUAAAAGAGAAGCAAGAUCAUCGUUAUCCAUUAAAUCGAGAACCUUUCCGGUUUUCUCGAUGCCAAGUUUAUUUAAAACUUCGAUUUGUUUUUCUCUGUUCAAUUCUUCUAUUAAAUCAGCAAGCUGGUCGAUUUUUAAAUAAAGUAAAAAACGUGUUUUAUGCUUCUCCGGCAGAUUUUCAUAUAACUGAGCAAUAUCGUAUGGCUGUAGUUCGUCCAUUAUAUCUUCGAAAACUUUCUUCUUGUUUUCUUUCAAAGAUUUGAUGAUAUGAAGAGUAAUUUGAUCCUCUGUUAUGUUUUUAAUCAUGCUUUUCA